CAGUUGCUGGUUUUUCCCCGAAGAAGAAAUUAACAGAAGAGGAGAAGUCGUUCAUCACCUAUGCUGUCUCUGAAGUGACUGAGGUAGCAGCCAGACAGAAAAAAUAAAAGUAGCUGCAUGGUGCUUCUUCAGCUAAAAGGAAGGAUCUGUUCUAGAGGUAGUAAAUGUUUCUUUUCUGUACACUGAGAGAACCUUCGACUGUAACGUAAACUGAUCUUCAUUUACAGAAGGAAGAUGUGAAACAAGUCCAAAAGUGUAAAGAUCACACCUCAGGUAAGCAGAGUAGAGAGGAAUUCUCCGGCCCCUGUCAUAUAAAGUGGCAAAAUAAUACUGGUUGCUGUUUGGUAUCUUCUGGCAGAUAUAAGCGGGUGAACUUUGCUGAUAGGCUGCUAGACAUUGGGGUGCAUUGCUGUCAGGGAGAGGCUCUUCUGGAACAGGGAAGGCAGUCUUCUCAAAGCCAGUUGGGGGUUUUCCCCCAAAAAAGUAUUUAAUACAAGAGGAGAAGUCAUUCAUCACCUCUGCUGUGCCUGAGGCAACUAAGGCAACAGCCACAAUGAGAAGAUAAAGUGACUGCAUGGUGCUGCUUCAGCUAAAAGGAAGGAUCUGUUCUGGAGGCAGUAAAUGUUUUUCUUUUAUAUACGCUGAGAGGACCUUCUGCUGUGACAUGAACUGAUCUUCAGUUACAAAAGGAAGUUGUGAAACAGGUGGAAAAGUGCACACAAAAAAAAAAA